CCCUUAGAUGUUCUGGGCCGCACGCGCGCUACAAUGGUCUUCGCAAACGGAUGCAUUCUCGAAGGAGAAUGCCAAUCUUGGAAUCUAUGCCUUGGUCGGGACAGUUGCUUGCAAUUUUUCGACUCGAACCAGGAAUUCCUUGUAAUCGUGAUUCAUCACAUCACGAUGAAUACGUCCCUGCCCUUUGUACACACCGCCCGUCGCUCCUACCGAUCGAAGAGUUAGGUGAAUGGUUUUGAUCGAUAAGAUUUGACUAUGGUCAACUCUCGUUGUGAAAUUCUGUGAAUCUGACUGUUUAGAGGAAGGAAAAGUCGUAACA
rnacentral:rRNA from 1 species